rnacentral:guide_RNA from 1 species
GAACUACAAUCAACAAGACAAAUAAGAUACUACUUA